GCCUCCGUGGCUUAGCUCGGUAUAGCGCCGCCUUGGUAAGGCGGAGGUCGCGAGUUCAAAUCUCGCCGGAGGCU
rnacentral:tRNA from 1 species